UGGCUGAUUUUGAUUAUUUAAUUUUCAAUAAAUUUUUAUUUAUUGUUACUUUUGUGAGUUUCAAGUGAUUUCAGUGAGAAUUGUGGGUUUUUCCUUCUUUAACUGAGGGGUACCAACAAUUUUGUCCACGUGUGUACAUAUCAUCAGGAGAAAAGGUCUCGUACUGAACCAGCUCAGGUGCCUGAAAGUGCCCAGCCUGUCGGGGGGAAGGUGAAGAGGUCUCUAGGCAGCUUUUUUAAAAGCAGUGCACCCUCCCCUUUGCCUGCAAAACUUGAGGACAUCGCAGAGGCAGAGAUCAGCAGCUAUUUGAUGACUCCUACCAUUGAUGGAGAGGAUGAUCCCCUGGCUUGGUGGAGGGUACACAAGAUCAGUUUCCCACAACUGUGCACCAUGGCACGCAAGUAUCUCUGCAUACCUGCCACUAGCGCUCCCUCAGAGCGUCUCUUUAGUACAGGAGGGAAUAUUGUUACUUGCACUCGCUCAUCUUUGAAGCCAGCCAAAGUAAAUAUGCUGAUCUUCUUAGCAAAAAACCUGUGAGCCACGAGAAGAACACUGUUGAAUCAUUGUGGCUGGCAGUGCCAAGCUCAAUGUGAAGUUUAGUCUGUGUUGUGUGGUAUUGUAAUGUUCUUUUGAAAAGUAAGGUUGAUAUUGAUAAUAAUAUUCAAAUUGGUUUAUUUUAUUUUAUUUUUUUGCCUAAUGUAAAAGUGCAUUUGUUUUUUAUUUAUAACUUUAUUCUGAUUCUACAAAAUAUUUUCAAAUAGAGUCAAAUUCUAUGCUUCAGUUGUGUGAAAUGUUACUGAUUUGGGAACAGUAAGAUGCCCUAUUAUUUUAUAUAUUUUUUGUUAAGAUGGUAAAUUUUGCACAGUUUUUACAAAGUGCUUGUUCUUAUGUUUCUUUGAGCAUUUAAAUAAAAAUCCCAUUUAUUUAAA